rnacentral:lncRNA from 1 species
UUAUAGAUAAACCAGCUGGGGACCAAGUACCUAACUAUGUGAGUCUAUGGGGGAUAUUCUCAUUUAAAUGAGAAUAUCCACUACAUUAAAUGAGAAUAUCCACUACAUGGAGGGAGCAUGUUGUACACUCACAAACUUUACUUACGUGUUGAAAUCCAAAGGGACUUAGUUUUAGAGGCAUGUUCGGACCAUCUUGUGCUUCCUCUUUCCCUUCCUUUGGUAGAUGUCAGGGUGCUAGAGGAGAGCAUCUCUUACCAGCAACUGUGGCUGCUUCAGGAAUGAAUCGAGAGACUAUAAUGGGAUUUCUUGAGACACACGGAUGGCUGUGCUGAGUACCAUGUGCGAUACACCCGUGGAAUGUUUUAACUUUUCAUCCCUAGCCAGAAUGUCUCUAGUAAAGUAAAGGGUAAGGACCUAACCAGAAAUACAUACCUGGCAAAAGUUGAAGCAAUCAUUUCAGUACUUAUUGCUCUGAGCAACAAAUUCUGAGAUCUUCCAAGUCAUUAAUAAAUUACUGAACCAUUGCCUAAGAGUUUCCCUGUUUCCUCCUAGAUUUCCCACCACUCCACCCCUUUCUCUCUUUAGAAAGCAAAAGGACCAAUAAACAAACCAAAAUAAUGCAGAGCCAGAGCAAAACAAAAGGCGCGGAAAGCACCUGUACGCCCACAGAGGCUGCACACCCAGAUGGGUGGCUUCCUGAUGGCCCAUUACCUUUUAGUUCUGUAAUAGGAACCCUGGGUCAGUCUUUCCUCACUCUGUAGCUGCUCCCUGCCAGAAGCUUUUCAGUUUCAUGAAGCCCCAUUUAUUGUUAGUCUCAGUGACUGUAAUAGCAGUGUCCUAUUCAGAAAGUCUUUUCUUGUCUCAAUGAGGUAAAGCCUAUUCUCUCUUAUUAUUCCUUAUUAUUUCUAAUAAUGAAAGUUCUUCUAUUACAAUCAACGUAUCUGGCCAUAUCUUAAGGUCCUUAAUCCAUUUGGAAGUGAUUUUUUUGCAGGAUGAUACAUAUGGACAUAAUGUAUUUUUCUAUAUGCAGCCAUCUUGUUUAACCAGCACUAUUUAUCGAACAUCUUGUCUUUUUUCUAGUGUAUGUUUUGGUUUCUUUGUCAAAACUGAGUGUCCAUAGGUAUGCGAACUUACGUCCAUGUCUUCAAGUCCAUUGAUUUGUGUGUCUUAUGCCCAUGCCAUGGAGUUUUCAUUGCUAUAGCUCUGCAGUACCACUUGAAAUAUGGAAUGGUGAUCCUUCCAGCAGCUUCUUUAUCACUCAGGGUAGUUUUAGCUAUCCAGGAUUUUCCUUUGUGUUUCCAUGUGAAGUUGAGAAUUGUUUUUUCACUUUCUGUGAAAAAGUUGCAUUGAGAUUUUAAUGGAAAUUGUGUCGAAUCUGUAAAUGGCUUUUGAUGGGAUGGCUCUUUUUACUCUAUUGAUCCUUCUGAUUCAUGAGGGAUCAUUCAGUCUUUUAGCAUCUUCAGUUUUUUUUUCUUCAAUAUCUUUAGGUUUUAGAACUCAGGUACUUGCUGUGUUAGACUUCUUCCAGUUUUUGUUAUUGUUGUUUUUUGAUGCUACUGUGAAAGGUAUUGCUUUCCUGAUUGCUUUCUCAGUCAGUUAUAUAAAGGCUACUGAUUUUUGUAUUAAUUUUGUAUCCUGAUACUUUGAAAAUUUAUUAGCUUUAGAAGUUUCCUGGUGGAGUUUUAAGGUCUUUUAUGUAUAAAGUAUUAUCUGCAAAUAAAGAUACUUUGACUUUCUUUUAUAUCUGUCUCCCCUUGGUCUCCUUCUGUUGUCUUUUGCUCUAGAUAAGACUUGAAGUAAGAUUGAAUAUCUGUGGAGAGAGUGGACAAUCUUGCUUUGUUUCUGAUUUGAGAGGAAUUACUUAUAUUUCUCUCAGUUUAACUUGUCAUUAGCUGCAGGCAUGCUGUAAGUUGCUUUUGUUAUAUCUUGUUACGGGAAAUAUUAAAAAAAGAAUCCACACUAUUGCUGGCAUUGCACCAAUGGGGUGGCUGGCCAGGCAAUGGCAGGCAGUGGCUGGCCUGUUCUCAUCUUGUGGAGACUCAGAGCUCCAAAAUCUCUCCACCCAGUUCUCUUAAGUUCCCACUGGCAGGUCGCUAUCACAUCAGCCCCAUGCUUCAAAACUCCCUUGGCCUUUUGUGGUGCACUUCUGACAAACCCCCAGUUUGCUGCUGUACCUUUCUCUCUGGAAUCCAGUUGAAGGAAAAUACCACACAAACUUAGUUCAGAAUCAGUAGUAACUCAAUCGCUGUGGGUGCAUCAGCUAGAAUCCUAAUCUUGUAAGCCAUAUUAAAUCUAAGUCCUCUGGUGGUCAGGAGACACUAGUAGCUAUGGCACCAUCCUGCGCUAUACCCAGCUACUCUCUGCCUGCAGUCUCUCUACCUCUAGGCUAGCCCUAUGCGGUUCGCCUGCCUCAGAACCACUUGUACCUUCUCAGCCAUCUACCCUCUGCGGCUAGUUGUCACAAAUCCCCUUAACCCAGUAAAUCAAAACUCUAGAAGCUUAUAAUCAGUCAGAUUUAUAUAUCUAUAAAAACUCAAUUCACAAGAUGCCCACACAGUUAAUUUCAGAGCCAAUUGAUAAUGAUACAAGCUGCCCACCUAGAUUAGGCAAGUUAUCCCAAUUAUUCUAUCCUUUUAUGAUAUUCAUAGGUACCUGUGGCUACUUAAAGCCACUCGGAAUCUGGGUCGCCUUCCUCUUCCUCCAUUUUCCUUCCUUCUCCUCUCCUCUCCCAGACUUUUCAGCUCCACCUUCCCUUCCACUGCCUAAUCACCGGCUCUAGCCUUUACUUUAUAAGUUGAGGUGGGGAGAAGGUUCACAAGAAGUCACGUGUGUGCUUGAUUUGCUCCUUGUCCUUUGCCCUCCUGAGAAAGUGGAAUUAGCAUCAAAAUCCAAGCAACCUUGGGUGCUAUCCACAUCAAUAGUGUUUGUAUCUCUGCUCUCCAGGGCUUCUGCGUGAAGGAUGGAUGUGUUCAAGACCUCAUCCUUCAUCUGAGGAGACGAUAAUGUGGUUUUUAUCUUUCAAUCUCUUUAUGGUGAUGUCUAUUGAUUUGUAUAUGUUAAGCCAUCCCUGUAUCUCUAGGAUGAGGCCUACUUAAUCAAGUUAGAUAAUUUUGUUUUUUAAGAGAGGGACUCUGUGUAGUCCUGGUUAUCCUAGGACUCACUGUAUAGACCAGGCUGUUCUUUUUUUUUUUUUUUUUAAGAUUUAUUUAAUUAUUGUAAGUAAGUACACUGUAGCUGUCUUCAGACACUCCAGAAGAGGAGUCAGAUCUUGUUACGGAUGGUUGUGAGCCACCAUGUGUUUGUUGGGAUUUGAACUCAGGACCUUUGGAAGAGCAGUUGGUGUUCUUAACUGCUGAGCCGUCUCUCCAGCCAGACCAGGCUGUUCUUGAAGUCUCUCUGCCUCUAUCUCCCAGCUGCUGGUAUUAAACAGUCUUUUUGAUGCAUUCUUGAAUUUGGUUUGCCAAUAUGUUAUUGAAUAUUUGCACCUAUGUUCAUAAGGGAUUGGUCUGUAAGUUUUUAAAAAAAUUUUUUUUUUUUUUGAGAGGCUGGUGCAUUGUUUUGGUAUCAGGGUAACUGGCCUCAUAAAAGGAAUUAGAAAAAAUGCCCUCAGUUUCUAUUUUGUGGAAUAAUAUGAGGAAUAUUAGCAUUAAUUCUUUGAAUUCAGUUUGGUAUAAUUCUGCACUGGAUCCAUCUGGUCCUGGGCUCUUGUGGUUGGGAGUCUUUUAGUUACAACUUCUUGGAUCUUGGUUUGUUUAAAUUGCUUAUUUGAUCUUGGUUUAACUUCUGUAUGUCAUAAUAUGAAGAAAUUCAUCCAUUUCUUUGUAUUUUCCAGUUUGGUGGAUUACAGCUUUUUAAAACGUGUUUUUUUUUUUUUUUUUUAAACUGUUUUCCAGAUUUUGUCAGUGUCUGUUGUAAUUGAGUG